GCGCUGAGGCAAACCGAGCGCGCGAGCGAGGCGUCUCCGCUCCGGCCCUCUCCCCCCCACUUCCUGUCUUUGCGGCCCCGGCGCUCCGUCGGUCGGCGUGGCCACCCUGUUCCCGCGCGCGCCCCCCCUGCCGCUCCUUCGGCCGCGGAUGCAGCGCCGCGAGGACCUCGCCGCCGCCCGCCUGGGCCGGGCCCCGCCCGCCUCCGCCGCCCCGGGCCGGCUCCAGUCGCCUCAGGCCGCGGCCUCGCCCCGGAGGCCGCCCCGCGGGGGCGGGGGCGCGCGAGGGGCCCAGCCGCCUCCGCUCCUGCCGCCCUCAGCCACGGGCGCCUCGGCCGGCCCGCCAGCCCCCAGCGCCGCGCCCACCCCGCUGAUGCCGCCCAGCGCCUCCGCCAAGGCCGAGCCGGAGAACAAGUACCUGCCCGAGCUCAUGGCCGAGAAGGACAGCCUGGAUCCCUCCUUCACCCACGCCACGCAGCUCCUGCAAGCGGAAAUUGACAAAAUUCAGAAGGGUGAAUCAAAAAAGGAUGAGGAUGAGACCUAUCUGGACUUGUUUUCCCAUAAGAACAUGAAGCUGAAGGAACGAGUUCUGAUCCCAGUCAAGCAGUACCCCAAGUUUAACUUUGUUGGGAAGAUAUUGGGACCCCAAGGCAACACCAUCAAGCGGCUACAGGAAGAAACCGGAGCAAAGAUUUCUGUUCUUGGAAAGGGGUCCAUGAGAGACAAGGCAAAGGAGGAAGAAUUGCGCAAAGGAGGUGAUCCAAAGUAUGCGCACUUAAAUAUGGACCUGCAUGUCUUCAUUGAAGUCUUUGGGCCACCCUGCGAGGCUUAUGCUCUAAUGGCACAUGCCAUGGAAGAGGUCAAGAAGUUCCUUGUUCCGGACAUGAUGGAUGACAUCUGCCAGGAGCAGUUUUUGGAGCUUUCCUACCUCAAUGGGGUGCCGGAACCGACACGAGGCCGAGGGAUUCCUGUGCGAGGAAGGGGAGCUGUGCCCCCGCCUCUGCCUGUUCCUAGUGUGUGGAGUGGGGCAGCCUUGCUGAAAAGGGGACGUGGUGUGGGACCACCGCCGCCGCCUCCACGUGGAGCCCUGGUGCGAGGGGCUCCCGUGAGGGGUGCCAUUGCCAGAGGAGCAGCUGUGGCCCGUGGCGUCCCCCCUCUUCCAGCGGUGAGAGGCGCCCCUGCCCCCAGAGCUCGGGCUGCUGGCAUUCAAAGAAUACCGCUUCCUCCCCCUCCGGCACCAGAGUCCUAUGAAGACUAUGGCUAUGACGAUGCUUACGCGGAGCAAAGUUACGAAGGCUAUGAAGGCUACUACAGCCAGGGUCAACAGGAAACUGAAUACUAUGACUAUGGACAUGGUGAAGCCCAAGAGUCGUAUGAAGCCUAUGGCCAAGAUGACUGGAAUGGAACUAGGCCUUCGCUGAAGGCCCCUCCAGCUAGGCCAGUGAAGGGAGCGUACAGAGAGCACCCAUACGGACGCUAUUAAAGCAUUCAUGAGGGGGAAAUGUCACUUUUGAGCAAACAGUUGUUUCUGAUUCUUGUAUCUCCCAGGAUUCCUGUUGCUUUACCCACAUCAGACAAGAGGCAUGCUGCCAUUGCUCGGGGUGAAAAAUGAGGAGAAGCUGCUGAGGACGAGUUGGGGGUCUGGUGACAUUUUAAAAUGUUGUGAAGAAUGCUAGGAGUUGAGCAAGAUGGGAGCUAGGCCUGAUGAAUUGACCUUUGAGGAGCACACUGAAUAUAUGCCGGUGGUUUUUAAACCUUGUAUGCAUCACGACUACUAUAAUUGGCUCUCUCUUUUUGGACCCCACACUUUUUCCCACCACUGCAUGGCAGAACUCUCCUAAGACUUACAAAUUAACUCUGCUGCAUUUCUGCUCCGGAGGCCAAGAAAGCCAUAUGCAAGCAUGGAUGGAAGCAGGAGCGGCUUGUCCUAGCUGGGUGUGGGCAGGGAGAAGGCACAGCUGCCUCCCCAGAGUUCUGUUUGUGCCUCUCUCUCACUUCGCAUUGCCUGCAGGCUUGCCAUUGUCAGGGAGGCAGUUAGCUGUGCACCUGAGCACUUUCCAGAUUAAACCCGACAACCAUGUCAGGAUGGGUCUGCUAAGUGUGCUUCCGUACUUCCUGUGUUGUGACACCACAGUCCCUGCACUGACAGCAAGGUGCCGUUCACAUUUCCAAUGCCUUCUUUCGGGUUUUAUCUUUGCAUUAUAGUGCUACAACGUUGCAAGUCCAUUGCAUACAAGUAGCUGUAGUUUCCCGUUGUAGGAGUUUGAGAUUCAGGGGAUCAUUUUCAAUAUGAUCCUGCCAAGCCAAAGCAUUUGACCCCUGUUGUAGGGUGAACAGCCAGCCUGCAGGCAGUGCAGCUCUCAUUAAUGUGGGGGUGGGGCAGAAGAGAGAGGAGCAAACAGAAUUCCGGAAGGAGAGGCAGCUGUGCCUUCUUGGCCACCCCCCAACAGCUUGUUAGGAUGAGCUACUCCUGUGUGGAAACACAUAGCCACUUUUGCUUUGCUGAGGAGGCAAACUGCUCUUCAGUUGAAAUUGUAGGAUUUAACCCAGAGUGCUUGUCGAGCAGACAUGCAAACUUCUGGCUCUUUAGCUAGUCUCCUGGGCCAUUUGAAACCAUGGCCCUUGGACCGCAAUUUACAAAGCUUUGGCUUUUUAAUUGCAAAGUAGUUGUUUACUUUUUUUACUAUGAGUAAUUUGCUUUUUUGCAAAGUAUUUGCUGACUAAAUGCUUUGUUUCAGAAAACUUUCUCCUUUUCCUCCAAUAGGUGGAGUUUUCAAAUCCAAGAAAAUGAGUUGGAGGCUCCUUACUCUCCCCAAGACUGACCUUUUCAGAAUUUGCAGUUUGUAAAAAAAAUUGUUGAACUGAAGCUUCAGAAGUUUAUACUUUAACAAGAUUUGCACUUUGAAUCUGAUGCUACCUCAGUUUGGCCUGCUUAAAAUCUUCAGCCUAAUCCUGAAACUGCUCGUGAAUGAACAUCUAGGAUAUAGAAACACAAUUUUUGCCAGCACAUUUUCAUAUGUGUUACAGGCAAAUAAACCAGUGUAAGAAUAAAACGAUUGCACUGGUCUUCUGGAAUUCUAUUUUAUAAUACUGCAUUUUGGAUGGUAUUGCUGGAACAGGGAGUGGAUUAGCCCAGUGUGCUGUAAUAUUGAGUACAUUUUAAUAAAGCAAUAUUUUUAAAAAAUUGA